rnacentral:rRNA from 1 species
GGGUGGGUAGGGGAGCGUCGUGCAGCCGUAGAAGCAGCAGGGUGACCUAGUUGUGGAGGCUGUGCGAGUGAGAAUGCAGGCAUGAGUAGCGAAUGACAAGUGAGAAACUUGUCCUCCGGAUGACCAAGGGUUCCUGGGCUAGGUUAAUCCUCCCAGGGUGAGUCGGGACCUAAGGCGAGGCCGACAGGCGUAGUCGAUGGACAACGGGUUGAUAUUCCCGUACCCGUGUCAGAUCGCCCCUGAUGAAUCAGUUGUACUAAC